rnacentral:rRNA from 1 species
UACAGGGGGUGCAAACGUUGCUCGGAAUCAUUGGGCGUAAAGCGCACGUAGGCGGUCUGUUAUGUCGGAUGUGAAAGCCCUUGGCUUAACUGAGGAAGUGCAUCCGAAACUGGCAGGCUAGAGUACUAAAGAGGGUCGCGGAAUUUCCGGUGUAGAGGUGAAAUUCGUAGAUAUCGGGAGGAACACCGGUGGCGAAGGCGGCGACCUGGGUAGAUACUGACGCUGAGGUGCGAAAGCGUGGGGAGCAAACAGG